CGGGGUGUAGCGAAACCUGGCAUCGCGCUUGCAUUGGGAGCAAGAGACUCCCGGUUCAAAUCCGGGCACCCCGA
rnacentral:tRNA from 1 species